rnacentral:rRNA from 1 species
UACGUAGGGUGCAAGCGUUAAUCGGAAUUACUGGGCGUAAAGCGUGCGCAGGCGGUUGUGCAAGACCGAUGUGAAAUCCCCGGGCUUAACCUGGGAAUGGCAUUGGUGACUGCACGGCUAGAGUGUGUCAGAGGGGGGUAGAAUUCCACGUGUAGCAGUGAAAUGCGUAGAGAUGUGGAGGAAUACCGAUGGCGAAGGCAGCCCCUGGACUACGGAC